CAAGGAAUUUUCGUCAAUGGGCGCAAGCCUGAACGAGCAACGCCGCGUGGAGGAUGACGGCCUUCGGGUUGUAAACUCCUUUUUCGGGGGACGAUGAUGACGGUACCCCGGGAAUAAGGCUCGGCUAACUCUGUGCCAGCAGCCGCGGUAAGACAGAGGAGCCAAGCGUUGUCCGGAUUGACUGGGCGUAAAGCGCACGCAGGCGGGUGCGCGCGUGGGGUGUGAAAUCUGGCCGCUUAACGGCCAGGCGCCAUCCCAUACGGCGCGCCUGAAGCCUUGCAGAGGGCGGUGGAAUUGCCGGUGUAGUGGUGAAAUGCGUAGAGAUCGGCAGGAACACCCAGGGGGAAACCAGCCGCCUGGGCAAGCGCUGACGCUGAGGUGCGAGAGCGUGGGGAGCGAACCGGAUUAGAUACCCGGGUAGUCCACGCCGUAAACGAUGGCCACUCGGCCUUUGGUGGCGGAACCUCCGUCGCUGGGGGCCUUAGCUAACGCGGGAAGUGGCCCGCCUGGGAACUACGAGCGCAAGGCUGC
rnacentral:rRNA from 1 species